UCUUGUACACCCGCCCGUCAAGCCAUGGAAGCUGGGGGUACCUGAAGUCGGUGACCGCAAGGAGCUGCCUAGGGUAAAACUGGUAACUAGGGCUAAGUCGUAACAAGGUAGCCGUACCGGAAGG
rnacentral:rRNA from 1 species